rnacentral:misc_RNA from 1 species
CACUCCCCAAGACAUUCCUACAACUUUGAAAAGAGAUGGAAGUGAUUUCUCUGCAGCUAUCAUGGGGGCACUGUUUAAAGCACGUCAAGUCACGAUUUGGACAGAUGUUGAUGGCGUCUAUAGUGCUGAUCCAAGAAAAGUAAGCGAGGCAGUAAUACUGGAGAGACUAUCUUAUCAAGAGGCAUGGGAAAUGUCAUAUUUUGGUGCCAAUGUCUUGCAUCCACGGACAAUUGUUCCAGUUAUGCAAUAUGACAUUCCUAUCAUUAUAAAAAACAUCUUUAACCUUGCUGCACCUGGAACAAGGAUCUGCCGAUCUACUGAUAAUGAAUUUGUAGAUGGACAGAUAUCAGAAUCCCCUGUCAAAGGAUUUGCAACGAUUGACAAACUAGCUCUAGUGAAUGUUGAGGGAACCGGAAUGACUGGUGUUCCUGGUACAGCUAGUGACAUUUUUGGUGUAGUAAAAAGUGUUGGUGCUAACGUAAUCAUGAUAUCGCAGGCUAGUAGUGAGCAUUCAAUCUGCUUUGCGGUGCCUGAAAAAGAAGUGAAAGCUGUUGCUGAUGCUUUAGAGUCUAGGUUUGGUCAGGCUCUGAGUUCCGGGCGCCUUUCUCAGAUUUCAGUGAUUCCAGGCUGUAGUAUUUUGGCUGCUGUUGGUCAGAGAAUGGCAAGCUCUUCUGGAGUUAGUGCUACAUUUUUCAGUGCACUUGCAAAGGCAAAUAUUAAUAUUCGUGCUAUAGCUCAAGGUUGCUCAGAGUACAAUGUAACAGUAGUUGUUAAGCAAGAAGACUGUGUGAGGGCUUUACGUGCUGUGCACUCAAGAUUCUAUUUGACAAGAACUGCUAUUGCUGUGGGCAUUGUUGG